rnacentral:rRNA from 1 species
UACGUAGGCAGCAAGCGUUGUUCGGAGUUACUGGGCGUAAAGAGUGCGUAGGCGGUGUGUCGCGUCGGCCGUGAAAACCUGCAGCUUAACUGUGGGCUUGCGGUCGAUACGGGCAUCACUGGAGUUCGGCAGGGGAGACUGGAAUUCCUGGUGUAGCGGUGAAAUGUGUAGAGAUCGGGAGGAACACCGGUGGCGAAGGCGGGUCUCUGGGCAAUUCCUGACGCUGAGGCGCGAAAGCGUGGGGAGCAAACGGG